rnacentral:rRNA from 1 species
UGGGGAAUAUUGGACAAUGGACCAAGAGUCUGAUCCAGCAAUUCUGUGUGCACGAUGAAGUUUUUCGGAAUGUAAAGUGCUUUCAGUUGGGAAGAAAUAAAUGACGGUACCAACAGAAGAAGUGACGGCUAAAUACGUGCCAGCAGCCGCGGUAAUACGUAUGUCACGAGCGUUAUCCGGAUUUAUUGGGCGUAAAGCGCGUCUAGGUGGUUAUGUAAGUCUGAUGUGAAAAUGCAGGGCUCAACUCUGUAUUGCGUUGGAAACUGUGUAACUAGAGUACUGGAGAGGUAAGCGGAACUACAAGUGUAGAGGUGAAAUUCGUAGAUAUUUGUAGGAAUGCCGAUGGGGAAGCCAGCUUACUGGACAGAUACUGACGCUAAAGCGCGAAAGCGUGGGUAGCAAACAGGAUUAGAUACCCUGGUAGUCCACGCUGUAAACGAUGAUUACUAGGUGUUGGGGGUCGAACCUCAGCGCCCAAGCAAACGCGAUAAGUAAUCCGCCUGGGGAGUACGUACGCAAGUAUG